ensembl:lncRNA
AUUGAAUCAUCAAUAUCCGCCCGCUGGCUUCCAUUCCCCCCGACCGUUUACAGUGACUUAUCAUCUGUCUAGUUGCCGAUGUCUCUGGGUGCUUGAUCGGAUAGUGCUUGUGAACAGCCACGUAGACGCCACGGAACAAGCACUAGCAUGACAAUCCAACACCACCCCCGAAAGAUUGAGAGGGGCCUUAUUAUGCUCGCUAGCUGCCCGCAGUGAUAUGGCUAGCUCUUUUUACUACGUUGUACCGCCGCGGUGAAUAAAUCACGUUGCGUCAAGCUCCGUAAAUCGAUCCACUCUGCGCUUCCACGCAUUCUUUGUUGGAGUGCACCCGUGGAGUUUUUCCCCACAGGAUGAAAUACUGCUUUUUAUUUUUCGGGCCUGUCAAGAAACUUGAGCAGUUAUUCCCAGUCCGGCGCCGCUGAAUUAAUGGAGAAUUAAAGAGCAUCGGCUGAGUGAAGCCUCUCAGAAUCCCAACCCAGAUGAAAGCGGCAGGGGCGGACAAAGCUGUUCUAUCGAUUGACCUAACAGAGGGAUUGAUUGAGGCGCAUUUGCAUGGAGAUCUGUUCCACGGCGGCUUAGAGAUCCUGAUCGAUCGCCCGGGAUUGAAGUGUAGUCGUCUCUGGAUGCUUUUCAGAGGUUGAGUGUUGUUAAUAGAAGCAGACCUAGCAUUCCUCAACAUUUGUCCAAAUACUUGUUCCCUCACUGACUUACAGUAUCAGCAAUGGAAUUUCAGUAGCAUGGAAGUGUCCACGCCGGAACACGAUGUUUGUGUUGUCCAGUAUUUACUAAGUACUUCUCACUUUCUCUUGGAUUCCACCCAGAACCUUGCAGUCCAUCUCUCAUGGGGGCAAGCGAUGAACAUUUCCCCUUAUUCGGUUAGUUUGUUUUUGUCUCUGAAACAAUGUAUAUCCAUAUGCUAAUGAAAGUUUACUACUACACAAAUUCACUCAUAAAUCAAUGCUGUUAAGAA